GACGAACGCUGGCGGCGUGCCUAAUACAUGCAAGUAGAACGCACAGUUUAUACCGUAGCUUGCUACACCAUAAACUGUGAGUUGCGAACGGGUGAGUAACGCGUAGGUAACCUGCCUGGUAGCGGGGGAUAACUAUUGGAAACGAUAGCUAAUACCGCAUAAUAUUAAUUAUUGCAUGAUAAUUGAUUGAAAGAUGCAAUUGCAUCACUACCAGAUGGACCUGCGUUGUAUUAGCUAGUAGGCGAGGUAACGGCUCACCUAGGCGACGAGUCAGAGCCGACCUGCGAGGGUGGUCGGCCACACUGGGACUGGGACAAGGCCCAGACUCCUACGGGAGGCAGCAGUAGGGAAACUUCGGCCAUGGACGGAAGUCUUACCGAGCAACGCCGCGUGAGUGGAGAAGGUUUUCGGAUCGUAAAGCUCUGUUGUAAGAGAAGAACGGGUGUGAGAGUGGAAAGUUCACACUGUGACGGUAUCUUACCAGAAAGGGACGGCUAACUACGUG
rnacentral:rRNA from 1 species